UAUUAGGUUGGUGCAAAAGUAAUCGUGGUUUUUGCCAUUGAAAGUCAUGGCAAAACUGCAAUUACUUUUGCACCAACCUA
rnacentral:miRNA from 1 species